rnacentral:rRNA from 1 species
UACGUAGGUGACCAGCGUUGUCCGGAUUUACUGGGCGUAAAGAGCGCGCAGGCGGUCGUUCAAGUCGAGUGUGAAAGCCCCCGGCUCAACUGGGGAGGGUCACUCGAUACUGAUCGACUUGAAGGCAGGAGAGGGAAGCGGAAUUCCCGGUGUAGUGGUGAAAUGCGUAGAUAUCGGGAGGAACACCAGUGGCGAAGGCGGCUUCCUGGCCUGUUCUUGACGCUGAGGCGCGAAAGCUAGGGGAGCAA